rnacentral:rRNA from 1 species
CCUACGGGUGGCAGCAGUGAGGAAUAUUGGUCAAUGGGCGGAAGCCUGAACCAGCCAAGUCGCGUGAAGGUUUAAGGCCCUAUGGGUCGUAAACCUCUUUUGUCAGGGAGCAAGGUCGUCCACGUUUGGGCGUCUGGAGAAUACCUGAAGAAAAAGCAUCGGCUAACUCCGUGCCAGCAGCCGCGGUAAUACGGAGGAUGCGAGCGUUAUCCGGAUUUAUUGGGUUUAAGGGGUGCGUAGGGGGAUUGAUAAGUUAGAGGUGAAAUGUCCGAGCUUAACUCGGGAAGUGCCUCUAAUACUGGUGAUCUAGAGAGUAGAUGCGGUAGGCGGAAUGUAUGGUGUAGCGGUGAAAUGCUUAGAGAUCAUACAGAACACCGAUUGCGAAGGCAGCUUACAAAUCUAUAUCUGACGUUGAGGCACGAAAGCGUGGGGAGCAAACAGGAUUAGAUACCCUUGUAGUC